rnacentral:rRNA from 1 species
GCCCGAGUUGUAAUUUGGAGAGGAUGCUUUUGGCGCGGCGCCGUCCGAGUUCCUUGGAACAGGACGCCACAGAGGGUGAGAGCCCCGUACGGACGGACGCCUAACCUUUACAAAGCUCCUUCGACGAGUCGAGUAGUUUGGGAAUGCUGCUCAAAAUGGGAGGUAAAUUUCUUCUAAAGCUAAAUACCGGCCAGAGACCGAUAGCGCACAAGUAGAGUGAUCGAAAGAUGAAAAGCACUUUGAAAAGAGGGUUAAAAAGUACGUGAAAUUGUUGAAAGGGAAGCGCCUGUGACCAGACUUGCGCCCCGUGGACCAUCCGGCGUUCUCGCCGGUGCACUCUGCGGGGCGCAGGCCAGCAUCGGUUCUCCUAGGGGGAUAAAGGCCGCGGGAACGUAGCUCCUUCGGGAGUGUUAUAGCCCGUGGUGGCAUGCCCCUGGGGGGACCGAGGACCGCGCUUCGGCAAGGAUGCUGGCGUAAUGGUCACCAGCGACCCGUCUUGAAACACGGACCAAGGAGUCAAGCAUUGGGGCGAGUGUAUGGGUGCCAAACCCGCACGCGAAAUGAAAGUAAACGCAGGUGAGAGCUUCGGCGCAUCAUCGACCGAUCCUGAUGUCUUCGGAUGGAUUUGAGUAAGAGCCUUACCGCUUGGACCCGAAAGAUGGUGAACUAUGCCUGAAUAGGGUGAAGCCAGAGGAAACUCUGGUGGAGGCUCGCAGCGGUUCUGACGUGCAAAUCGAUCGUCAAAUUUGGGCAUGGGGGCGAAAGACUAAUCGAACCAUCUAGUAGCUGGUUACCGCCGAAGUUUCCCUCAGGAUAGCAGUGUUGUUUUCAGUUUUAUGAGGUAAAGCGAAUGAUUAGGGACUCGGGGGCGCCUAUUAGCCUUCAUCCAUUCUCAAACUUUAAAUAUGUAAGAAGCCCUUGUUGCUUAAUUGAACGUGGGCCUUCGAAUGCAACAACACUAGUGGGCCAUUUUUGGUAAGCAGAACUGGCGAUGCGGGAUGAACCGAACGCGGGGUUAAGGUGCCGGAGUGGACGCUCAUCAGACACCACAAAAGGCGUUAGUACAUCUUGACAGCAGGACGGUGGCCAUGGAAGUCGGAAUCCGCUAAGGACUGUGUAACAACUCACCUGCCGAAUGUACUAGCCCUGAAAAUGGAUGGCGCUCAAGCGUCCCACCCAUACCCCGCCCUCAGGGUAGAAACGAUGCCCUGAGGAGUAGGCGGCCGUGGAGGUCAGUGACGAAGCCCAGGU